UACGGAGGGUGCGAGCGUUGUCCGGAAUCAUUGGGCGUAAAGGGCGCGUAGGUGGCCCUGUCAGUCGGUGGUGAAAGCGCGGGGCUCAACUCCGCGUCGGCCGUCGAUACUGCGGGGCUGGAGCACUGUAGAGGCAGGCGGAAUUCCGGGUGUAGCGGUGGAAUGCGUAGAGAUCCGGAAGACCACCGGUGGCGAAGGCGGCCUGCUGGGCAGUGGCUGACACUGAGGCGCGACAGCGUGGGGAGCAAACAGG
rnacentral:rRNA from 1 species